GGGUUGUGAGGUUAAGCGACUAAGCGUACACGGUGGAUGCCCUGGCAGUCAGAGGCGAUGAAGGGCGUGCUAAUCUGCGAUAAGCGCCGGUAAGGUGAUAUGAACCGUUAUAACCGGCGAUACCCGAAUGGGGAAACCCAGUGUGAUUCGUCACACUAUCAUUAACUGAAUCCAUAGGUUAAUGAGGCGAACCGGGGGAACUGAAACAUCUAAGUACCCCGAGGAAAAGAAAUCAACCGAGAUUCCCCCAGUAGCGGCGAGCGAACGGGGAGGAGCCCAGAGCCUGAAUCAGCAUGUGUGUUAGUGGAAGCGUCUGGAAAGGCGCGCGAUACAGGGUGACAGCCCCGUACACAAAAGCGCAUGUGCUGUGAGCUCGAUGAGUAGGGCGGGACACGUGGUAUCCUGUCUGAAUAUGGGGGGACCAUCCUCCAAGGCUAAAUACUCCUGACUGACCGAUAGUGAACCAGUACCGUGAGGGAAAGGCGAAAAGAACCCCGGCGAGGGGAGUGAAAAAGAACCUGAAACCGUGUACGUACAAGCAGUGGGAGCACCCUUCGGGGUGUGACUGCGUACCUUUUGUAUAAUGGGUCAGCGACUUAUAUUCUGUAGCAAGGUUAACCGUAUAGGGGAGCCGGAGGGAAACCGAGUCUUAACCGGGCGUUAAGUUGCAGGGUAUAGACCCGAAACCCGGUGAUCUAGCCAUGGGCAGGUUGAAGGUUGGGUAACACUAACUGGAGGACCGAACCGACUAAUGUUGAAAAAUUAGCGGAUGACCUGUGGCUGGGGGUGAAAGGCCAAUCAAACCGGGAGAUAGCUGGUUCUCCCCGAAAGCUAUUUAGGUAGCGCCUCGUGAAUUCAUCUCCGGGGGUAGAGCACUGUUUCGGCUAGGGGGCCAUCCCGGCUUACCAACCCGAUGCAAACUGCGAAUACCGGAGAAUGUUAUCACGGGAGACACACGGCGGGUGCUAACGUCCGUCGUGAAGAGGGAAACAACCCAGACCGCCAGCUAAGGUCCCAAAGUCAUGGUUAAGUGGGAAACGAUGUGGGAAGGCCCAGACAGCCAGGAUGUUGGCUUAGAAGCAGCCAUCAUUUAAAGAAAGCGUAAUAGCUCACUGGUCGAGUCGGCCUGCGCGGAAGAUGUAACGGGGCUAAACCAUGCACCGAAGCUGCGGCAGCGAACGUAUCACCCAAGACAACUUUACGGAGUUGACGAUUGACGGAGCGAAGCGACGUCAAAGCGUUCAUUAAAGUCGAGUUGGCUUAGGGAUACGUUCGUUGGGUAGGGGAGCGUUCUGUAAGCCUGUGAAGGUGUGUCGUGAGGCAUGCUGGAGGUAUCAGAAGUGCGAAUGCUGACAUAAGUAACGAUAAAGCGGGUGAAAAGCCCGCUCGCCGGAAGACCAAGGGUUCCUGUCCAACGUUAAUCGGGGCAGGGUGAGUCGACCCCUAAGGCGAGGCCGAAAGGCGUAGUCGAUGGGAAACGGGUUAAUAUUCCCGUACUUGGUGUUACUGCGAAGGGGGGACGGAGAAGGCUAUGUUGGCCGGGCGACGGUUGUCCCGGUUUAAGCGUGUAGGUGUGUGUUCCAGGUAAAUCCGGUUCACUUUAACACUGAGGCGUGACGACGAGGCACUACGGUGCUGAAGCAACAAAUGCCCUGCUUCCAGGAAAAGCCUCUAAGCAUCAGGUAACACGAAAUCGUACCCCAAACCGACACAGGUGGUCAGGUAGAGAAUACCAAGGCGCUUGAGAGAACUCGGGUGAAGGAACUAGGCAAAAUGGUGCCGUAACUUCGGGAGAAGGCACGCUGACACGUAGGUGAAGUGAUUUACUCACGGAGCUGAAGUCAGUCGAAGAUACCAGCUGGCUGCAACUGUUUAUUAAAAACACAGCACUGUGCAAACACGAAAGUGGACGUAUACGGUGUGACGCCUGCCCGGUGCCGGAAGGUUAAUUGAUGGGGUCAGCGCAAGCGAAGCUCCUGAUCGAAGCCCCGGUAAACGGCGGCCGUAACUAUAACGGUCCUAAGGUAGCGAAAUUCCUUGUCGGGUAAGUUCCGACCUGCACGAAUGGCGUAAUGAUGGCCAGGCUGUCUCCACCCGAGACUCAGUGAAAUUGAACUCGCUGUGAAGAUGCAGUGUACCCGCGGCAAGACGGAAAGACCCCGUGAACCUUUACUAUAGCUUGACACUGAACAUUGAGCCUUGAUGUGUAGGAUAGGUGGGAGGCUUUGAAGUGUGGACGCCAGUCUGCAUGGAGCCGACCUUGAAAUACCACCCUUUAAUGUUUGAUGUUCUAACGUGGACCCGUAAUCCGGGUUGCGGACAGUGUCUGGUGGGUAGUUUGACUGGGGCGGUCUCCUCCUAAAGAGUAACGGAGGAGCACGAAGGUUGGCUAAUCCUGGUCGGACAUCAGGAGGUUAGUGCAAUGGCAUAAGCCAGCUUGACUGCGAGCGUGACGGCGCGAGCAGGUGCGAAAGCAGGUCAUAGUGAUCCGGUGGUUCUGAAUGGAAGGGCCAUCGCUCAACGGAUAAAAGGUACUCCGGGGAUAACAGGCUGAUACCGCCCAAGAGUUCAUAUCGACGGCGGUGUUUGGCACCUCGAUGUCGGCUCAUCACAUCCUGGGGCUGAAGUAGGUCCCAAGGGUAUGGCUGUUCGCCAUUUAAAGUGGUACGCGAGCUGGGUUUAGAACGUCGUGAGACAGUUCGGUCCCUAUCUGCCGUGGGCGCUGGAGAACUGAGGGGGGCUGCUCCUAGUACGAGAGGACCGGAGUGGACGCAUCACUGGUGUUCGGGUUGUCAUGCCAAUGGCACUGCCCGGUAGCUAAAUGCGGAAGAGAUAAGUGCUGAAAGCAUCUAAGCACGAAACUUGCCCCGAGAUGAGUUCUCCCUGAGACUUAGAGUCUCCUGAAGGAACGUUGAAGACGACGACGUUGAUAGGCCGGGUGUGUAAGCGCAGCGAUGCGUUGAGCUAACCGGUACUAAUGAACCGUGAGGCUUAACCUUACAACGCCGAAG
rnacentral:rRNA from 1 species